GGCUUGUCAUUAUGGCUUCUCUGCAAAGCGAGCAAAUUGAAUCUUACCAACGGGUCAUUGAGGUAAGCAUUCACAUUGCCAAAGCCUUUAAAGCCAGUGAUCAGUAGCUUUAAAACAGAGCUGAAAAAGCAUUACAAAGAAGACAUUAUUGUUUGGACUAGAUCCUCGCAUUAGAGUGUGCUUUAAGAUCUUAAUUAGUCCAGCGUUUUUGCAGGUUCAUAUCAGAACAAAAGAAAAUGACUUGCAUGAAUGCAUAAAGGUAAAAGACAAAAAGCCAUGCCAUUAAUUUAUAUCAUUCUAUCAUCUCCUGAAAAAGUUUUUGGAAAGUUUUACAACAAUUCCUAUAGCAUGUGCUUGUAGAUGUAAUUGUUAAAUUAGUUUUGAUUAGUCUGUUCACAAUAUUUACUUUGACAGACAAUGGAGUGGCUGAUACAGUAUGUAAGCUAGCAGAUCAGAAGAAUGGAUUGUAACCUCACAUUUUGUUCACUACCGUUGACUACUCAUACAUCACAAGACAUUGGAGAAAUGCAAAUGAAGAGCUCUCUAUAUUCUAAUAAAAAGCAGGUUAUAGAUAUCUGAUUCUUUUCCAACUAAGCAUAAACUCCUCUUGUUUCCGUCCAUAAAUGGCCGGAGGCAGAGUCUGUAACCACUUACCUGGCUUAUGCAAAGUUGGAGACACUAUUCUUUCUCAGGCAGCGCCUACUAAUUGCAUGUACCAUUUUUGUUAAAAAAUGCAUUACAAUACAAGCAAUGACAUAAUAUGUAAUCUCUCCUCUUACAAGAAGUUUUCUCCAAUAUUAUUUGGUCUAAUGGUUUUGUUAUGCUGAUGAAAUUUGUAAAGGUCUUCAUAGGCGAUGGUUACUGCUAUGUAAUUAAUGAUUUUUUCCCUGCUGCUUAUAUCAAACCAAGUCAGACGCUUCACUUGAGUUAGUUCAUACUCGUGUACCUCACCCACAUGUGUUUAAAUUACAUGUCAUUCACUGAACCAGGAUAUAUUGUUCCCAAAUUAGGUGGAACGAUCAGAAGUGGACAUUAAGAAAGGCAAAGUAAAAUUCACAAACAUCCUUGAGGGUUUUCCCAGCAACCAAACAGAAGAAAUGCCUAUGUUCAAAAAAAAAAAAAAGAUGCCAAAUAUGAGCCCACAACAAUCUUCAAAAAACGUGAGAGAGAGAACCGCAAUAAGCAACAACAAUCAAGUUAGUUACUUUUCCUUUCCUCUUACAAUUACAAAUAUACCACUGCUCUCAACCCAACCCAACCCAACCCAUGUAAGUUCUCCCGCCUAUAAAAUAGGAAGGACUAGUCGUGUAAUCCCCCUUUUCUACUUCUCUUCUUUUUCUUGAAUAGUUUUUCUUCUUUCACUCUCCUCUCACUACCAAAAUGGCGAUAACCGUAUUUGAAGCUUGCAAGAAAAGAAAACGAACUCCAAAGAAGAUCAUCUGCACUUCUCGCUUCUCCUCCAUCGAUGAUUCCAGUAUGGACUUUUCCCGUUCUUUUCGCGACAACAUCAAAGAGUUUCUAAAACGGUGCUCAGACUCUGAAGAUUAUAAACUUGGUGGAACCAAUCCUGUUUGGUGCACUUUACUUGUCAAUGAAUCAAGCGGCGUAGUUUUCCCUCUGUACAUCGUCGAAGAAUUCAUCAAUAACUCUUCCUCUUCUCAGCAUCAGCCUCUCUGCGACUUCUGUAGAUUCGUUGGUAACAUAUAAAAAUGAUUUCUUCAUUCUAUUAUGAAUUUCCUGCGAUUGCCUUUUAUUAUUAUCAGGAUUUGGGGGGUAUUGAUUUUUAAUUUCUUUUUAAUAGGAUGGAGUCACCAUUUUGUUUCUAAAAGAAACUAUCAUCUAAUAGUUCCUGAUGAUGAUAAAUGGAACAAGCCUUUAAAGAAAGAUUCACUUAAGCAAGAAAACCAUUUAUUACACGGUGUUAUUCACUGCAAUGGUUUUGGUCAUUUGCUCUGCAUCGAGAUUGAAUCUAAUUCAAAUUAUCUCAACGGAGAAGACCUCAUGAGCCUCUGGGAUCAUCUCUGUGCAUGUCUCAAAACCCGGUACAGUAAAAUUUUUCUUUAAUUAGUUACCUUCACAAUCAGACUUCCCGUUCUCUCUUUCUCUCUUUUUUCUAUUUUGGUUAAUUGGGCUCCUACUGUGGCUUGAACUUGAUAAUUCAUAGCCCUGGCUAAAGUAUAGAGUUCAUUUUUUAAUUUUAACAUUUUGAUUGGUGUUGCAGUGACAUUUCAGUGCAUGAUUUGUCAAAGAAGGGAUCUAUGGACUUGAGAUUGCUUAAUGGAGUUGCAUAUGGGCGUUCUUGGUUUGGUAAAUGGGGCUAUAAGCUAUGUCGUGGAAGUUUUGGAGUUAGAAAGCACGAAUACAAUAGAGCUAUUGAAAUUCUUAGUUCAUUAGAGCUUAGUAAGAUUACUACUGAUUUUAGUAAAAGAAAACAAGGAAAAUUGAUUGGACAAAUUGUUCAAACUUAUAGUGAUAUUAGUGAGACCCAGUUGGUUACUAUUAGUGACUUGCUUUAUUUUAUGCUUGCUUUCGAGUCUAAACCUCUUAUUCAAAGGAAAACAGCCCUUGCAUUGGCUUCAUUUUCAUCCAAAUCAUCAAGAGAUCAAACAACCAAUCAACCCAAAGCUUCUUUGCCCAGCUAUCCAAGUGAUUAUAAGUCACUUGCUUCUUUUGUUGCUAAACUGGAUGCCAGAUGGCCUGAAAGAAGACUUGAGCGGGUAGUGGAAGUGAUUUUUCAAAUUUUGCAAAUACAUGGAGCUAGGAUGCUUCGCCAAGACUUAAGAGACGCAGUUAGACAACAUAUUGGUGACACUGGUUUGAUUGAUUUUGUUCUUAAGCAUAUUGAUAAGGUUAUUGUGGGAAAUCAAGUUAUUGUUCGUGCAAACAAGCCAGUUAGCAAGUUGUUAGAAUUUUCACUUGAAGAUAUUUCUGAUGGAGCUACACUCGAAAAGAAAGCACAAUCACACACUGAUAUUUCAACUUUAAAACUAGGACUAAAUGUUCGAAAAGAUUUACUCUUCUUGUACAAGAAUGUUUUAUUGGGCUACCCUGAUUAUCAUGCUGUUGCUAUAGCUGCUAGAGUGAUCUUAGACUGUAAGCAUUUUUUUAAGGAGUGGCAAUAUAAGAGCAGUAAUGAGGAUGCAUUACUGACGCUAAUUUGCCAGGUAAGGCCAAGUUAUGAUGAAUUGGCAAAUGAGCUAACUUGGCCACUGCCACCAGGUGAACCAGUGAUGGCUCCGGAAUGUGCAACAGUUUUUGAGCUUAAAUUGACAGUGCAAUGUGCAUUAAGGGACACAUAUUGUGUAAUGGACAAUUUUGUAGUCAAUGAUAUAGAAAUUGGGGGAUUAGUGGCAAGAGAGGAGGGCCAAGAUUUGCUCAAGUGUGGGCUGGAGGAUGGUAUGAAGGUUUGGGUGAGGGGGUCUGGUCUGGACUUAGAUACAAAGUUGAGAUAUCAGGGUGGGGAUAAUGAUUGGACUGUGGAUUGUAAGUGUGGGGCAAAGGAUGAUGAUGGGGAAAGAAUGGUGGCCUGUGAUGCUUGCCAUGUUUGGCAGCAUACUAGGUGUAACAGCAUUAAGGAUGAUGCUUCUCCUCCUACUUUGUUUCUAUGUCGUAUGUGUAAUUGCAGGAUGAAGAAGUCGUCUGCAAGAUGCAUAUCCGCCGAGAAAAACAGAUUUGGCAGGAGGCAUGAUAUUGGGCCUCAAUGAUUCCCAUCUUGUGUUUCAUGCAGCAGAUUUUAUUCGCUCCUUCAAAGACGGCUCUUAUAGCAUUUUAAAACUUUGAACAGUUUAAUGUAUCACAAUUUUAUUAACAGGUGUCUGCAGGUUCUAUCUGAGAUCCUGCAAGAUCUCAGGUUAUAGGAUGCUAAUUUAUUUAAAAAGCUUUGGCACGAAUGCCUGUUGUUAUAUUUGUUUAUAGAAGCAGUUUGUAUCUAGUUACCAGGCUUUUGUAAGGUUAGAAACACAAUUCCCUCUGAGGCAUAACGAUUUGCAGAUACUCUUUAUUAGCUAACAAAUACAUUAUAAUUGCAAGCAAUGACAUAUUAUCCAGAAGAUUAAAUGUUCAAUAAUAGUAAUAGAUAGAAUAUGAUGAAUUUGACCUGGCUUUGUCGGUGGCAACAACACUCGUACCAGCUGGGCCUGGAUGAGAUAGGCAAAUCCAAGCUCAUGAAAACGUGCAAGCUUAAGCUAAUCAGCUGGAAUGUGUAUUCUUGCAUUCCCAUAUAUAUUUGACAAUUUGGACUCCUACUCCUAUACGUUGUUAGCCUGCCCAGCCGAAAAGCCUGAACUCAAGUUUAACCUUGUCCGCUCCUAUUUAUAUUCUUGCUGCUUUCGACUCCUUGUCUUCACCUCGAAACGAAUAAUUCCCAUUUCUAUUUGGCAAUGCUUCUGCUAUUUAUUUAGGCUUAUAAUUCCCA
rnacentral:lncRNA from 1 species